rnacentral:rRNA from 1 species
UACGAAGGCCCCGAGCGUUAUCCGGAUUUAUUGGGCGUAAAGCGUUAAUAGGCGGCUUGGUAAGUAUCUCGUCAAAUCCUGGGGCUCAACCCCAGGGCCGCGGGGUAAACUGCCUGGCUUGAGGCUGGGAGAGGUGAGCGGAACUAGCGGUGUAGUGGUAAAAUGCGUUCAUAUCGCUAGGAACACCGAAGGCGAAGGCAGCUCACUAGAACAGAUCUGACGCUGAAUAACGAAAGCGUGGGGAGCGAAUGGG